rnacentral:rRNA from 1 species
CAGUCGCCACGGUAAUACAGAGGGUGCAAGCGUUAAUCGGAAUUACUGGGCGUAAAGGGCGCGUAGGUGGUUGCGUAAGUGAGAUGUGAAAUCCCCGGGCUUAACCUGGGAACUGCAUUUGCGACUGGCGAGCUAGAGUAUGGCAGAGGGGGGUAGAAUUCCACGUGUAGCAGUGAAAUGCAUAGAGAUGUGGAGGAAUACCGAUGGCGAAGGCAGCCCCCUGGGCCAAUACUGACGCUCAUGCACGAAAGCGUGGGGAGCAAACAGGAUUAGAUAUCCCCGUAGUCCCUGUCUCUUAUAA